AAAGCAUGCGAGACUUGUGUCACUUUGCACUGAGAGGACGGAGCGGCUGAAGGGUGAUUUGAGAAGAGAUGAAAUAAAAGGUAGUGACACCCCACUCCCCACCUUUUUUUUCCCCCCUUUUUCUCAAAAAUCUUCAUUCUUCUAGCGGCUCCACUCAUCUUCUCCAUGAGGCAGGCUGGGCUGUAUUUAUGGCCGAGUGCCCACAGCUAAAGCUAAUAUUAUGAGCUUCCACUGUGCCAUCCAUAUUGUUUUACCUCGCGUUGCCUGCGGUGAGGAAUAAAUAAAGUGUCAUUGGCAGCUUUCAAAGCACUCCUCCAGCAGGUUGGAGAGCAGACUGGGCUGCAGAGAUGGAAAGAAAAGGGGGCUGUCACUUUGGGUUGGGUAAUUUUUGACGUGCACGUCAAGGCCUUGACAAGGGGAAUGUGGCCGGCUUGUACAUUAGAGCUCAAGCUCACAGGCAAGAAGGCAGCACAGCACUAGGGACAGGUAGUAAUGCAGUCCCAGAGAGUGCUGCUCAUCUGCUAACACUAUGUACUUGUCUGGUGCCACACAAGGAUGCCCCCUGUCGCCUUGGCUCCACUCCCCCCACCCCCCAUCCCUCUGCAGAAAUGACUUAAGUCAGUGCGGGAAGAAUCCAUUUACAAUGUGUGCUUUAUAACAUCUCUUUGACAAUGCAGUCAUGGAUUAGAGACAUUUGUGAUGAAUCUUUCAUGGAGACUUUUUCCCCCCAUCUUUCUUUUCCAUGUGCACCAGGCUUUUCAGGGUCCACAUGUGUCUGCUCGGAUGUCAUCGCAGGAAGACGGGGAGAGGAAAAAGCAAUGGGUACUCACCAAACGAAGAAAAAAAGGAAAGAGGAGGGGAAAAGGAAAGAGGAAGAGUGACACAGAAUCGUCAGAGUGGGGCAUUAAAAUUUAUCUCCAAGUCACAAUGGCAGCCAUGAUAGCAGCGUGAAACUUUCCUUUGAAAAUGAACGUCACUUGUCCUCUCAGUCAUGCACUUCCCUCGCAAACCAAGACAAGCGCUCUCUGUCCUCAUCAAUUCUUCACCGC